rnacentral:rRNA from 1 species
CGAAAUCUGACCUCAAAUCAGGU